GACGGAGGAUGCAAGUGUUAUCCGGAAUCACUGGGCGUAAAGCGUCUGUAGGUGGUUCGACACGUCCACUGUUAAAAAUUGAAGCUUAACUUCAAAUAUGCCGUGGAAACUUUCAAACUAGAGUGUGGAAGGGGUAGAGGGAAUUUCCAGUGGAGCGGUGAAAUGCGUAGAUAUCGGGAGGAACACCAGAGGCGAAGGCGGCCACCUGGACAGAGACUGACGCUGAGACGCGAAAGCGUGGGGAGCAACCAGG
rnacentral:rRNA from 1 species